rnacentral:hammerhead_ribozyme from 1 species
AUCCAGCUGAUGAACUCCAAACAGAACGAAAUGCGCGUCCUGGAU